CGAGGGUGCAAACGUUGCUCGGAUUUACUGGGCGUAAAGCGCGUGUAGGCGGACUCGCAAGUCGGUUGUGAAAUCCCUGGGCUCAACCUAGGAACUGCAUCCGAAACUGCUUGUCUUGAGUAAUGGAGAGGGUGGCGGAAUUCCCGGUGUAGAGGUGAAAUUCGUAGAUAUCGGGAGGAACAUCAGUGGCGAAGGCGGCCACCUGGACAUUUACUGACGCUGAGACGCGAAAGCGUGGGGAGCAAACCGGAUUAGAUACCCGAGUAGUCC
rnacentral:rRNA from 1 species